rnacentral:rRNA from 1 species
GAGUAAUACAUCGGAACAUACCUAGAAGUUGGGGAUAACCCAUCGAAAGAUGGGCUAAUACCGGAUAAUCUCUGAGGAGGAAAGCUGGGGACCCGCAAGGGCCUGGCGCUUUAUGAAUGGCCGAUGGUCGAUUAGCUAGUUGGUGAGGUAAAGGCUCACCAAGGCGAUGAUCGAUAGCUGUUCUGAGAGGAAGAUCAGCCACACUGGGACUGAGACACGGCCCAGACUCC